GCCAUUGAUGACAGUUUUUUAAUUAUGGUUUACUGAAAAGCUGGUUUUAAUGGCAGUUACGUUGUUGAAAAUCAUGAACUAGGACGGUCUGAGGC